rnacentral:rRNA from 1 species
CACGUAGGGGGCAAGCGUUGUCCGGAUUUAUUGGGCGUAAAGAGCUCGUAGGCGGCUCAGUAAGUCGGGUGUGAAACCUCCAGGCUCAACCUGGAGCCGCCACCCGAUACUGCUGUGGCUUGAGUCCGGUAGGGGAGCGUGGAAUUCCUGGUGUAGCGGUGAAAUGCGCAGAUAUCAGGAGGAACACCAGCGGCGAAGGCGGCGCUCUGGGCCGGAACUGACGCUGAGGAGCGAAAGCGUGGGUAGCAAACAGG